UACGUAGGGGGCUAGCGUUGUCCGGAAUCAUUGGGCGUAAAGCGCGUGUAGGCGGUCCGGUAAGUCCGCUGUGAAAGUCGGGGGCUCAACCCUCGGAUGCCGGUGGAUACUGUCGGGCUUGAGUACGGAAGAGGCGAGUGGAAUUCCUGGUGUAGCGGUGAAAUGCGCAGAUAUCAGGAAGAAUAUCCGUGGCGAAGGCGGCUCUCUGGUACGGCACUGACGCUGAGACGCGAAAGCGUGGGGAGCAAACAGG
rnacentral:rRNA from 1 species